GUAUGGGUCCUGAUAACCCCUGCCAUAGAAGAUGGUCCACUUUGGUGAGGUCUUUGCUGCUCUCUCUUUCAAGUGGCAGUGCCUGAAAUAAUGAACAGAAAAUCUUCCUGAAUCUUGCAUCAUCGUUGUCCAUAAACAGCGAGCCAUCUCCUUGGCCCUUCUCCUUGGGGGUCCAAGAUAGAGUCCAGCGGCUUGAGGUUAUAGUUGCAGUCCCAGGAUGAUAUAGUAGCAUUCCUGGCAGUCUGCUCAUAACCUGCAGUCCUGAUACCAUCAUCAGGUUAUAGAGAGUGACCACCAGGCUGGGCAGUACGUCCUGCUUCCUGAUCAUGGGUACAGCCACUCCUUAUUCUCUAGUUAUUGAGAGAGGCCCUAAAGAUUAGAAUUCAUUAACAACAUGGAAAAUCUAUAAGUCCACCUCUGACCACAGCUGACAUCUUUCUGGAGGGUAUGUUUGUACUUUGCCAAGCAGAUCCUCAAAGCUUCUCUGUCACAGAAUGUUCGAAGGCUAUUAGCCACGAGCUUUCAUUAGCCUAGCAUUCCUACAAAAGACCUUGGAAUCAGUUCAGAGUUUGGGUUUAUUCAGAUGGUGAUAUGCCAGUAGACAGACGAAGUACAGUGAGAGGGAUGGUGGGUGUGGAAGUGAAGACAGAUAGUAGGAGGGGACAAGAGGAGCCUUUGGGGGAAAAUAUCCAGUAGUAAACUAUCUGGCAGACUCAGCAACAGUGCUUGAGUGGUUUAUUUUACAAUGUGAGGCUGCAGCAGAGAAGUAAGAGAACAGAAUGAAUUGCCACUGGGGGGGCUAUUUCUCUAUUGUGAGAACUUCUCUUUGAAAGAGCUGGACCCAGGGAGAGGACGAUGCUUUCCAGUUGGCAAAGAAAGUCAACACUGGGGAUCAGGACGCAUGUUGCAGAGAGUGAGGAUAUCAGACAGGAGAUAGCCAACGGGAGCAUGAAAGGUGUCCCAGGGUAGCACAGGUCAGGUCCUGAUCUGCACAACCCUGGGCACACCUUAGCAGAGGCAGCCAAGCACCAUUUAAACUCCAGGGACCUAGAGUCAGGAAGGAAGAGCUCUGGCAGCUGGAGGGAAGGUCAGUGCCCAGGAGAUCACAUUGGAGUCAUUGUCACCCUGAGUGUCUCCUAUCAUGGCUAUUGGCACAUGUUUAAUGGGCAGAUGGCUUUCCUGAAGGCUAGGCAUUUGCUAGUGCAAAGCAUUAAUGAGCUGACCCCGCACACAACACACUUUCUGUUUCCUGGAAAAUUCCAGAUAAACACAAGAAGAAAGGGCCUGAGACUUUGUCACUUGGUAAAUUGAGUCUCUUUAUCAAUUUAUCAAAUAUAAGUUUCAAAAUAACCACACAUGAGAUACCACUGGUGGGCCUCGGGGAAACAGCGGGUGACAAUCUGAGUGCCUUCACACUAAGAAUUCUCCAGGAAGAACCACCUUUACUGAGUUUUGCCUGGCUCCCUCCACACCAAGAAAUAACCAGCAAUAUGGCCCUAGCUGCUGUCUGUCAUGAAGAGGUGCUAUUUGCUCCCACCAGCAUGUCCUAGCACAUGUGGCAGGGAUGAAGGUGGCUUCAUUGUUCCUGUUGGCCAGCCAGCAGAGGGAGUGAGAAUGACAAAGUUCAUACCUUCUAAAUUAUCAUUAUGUUAUUAUUUUAUAUCGAUACAUAAAAAUAAUGAUUAUGAAAAUAUCUUUACCAAUUUCUGUGUUUAUAAAGGUAAUUCAUGCUUAUUUUUAAUGUAAUAAAAAUAUCAACGGUAAAGAGCUGAAGGUUUCCAGUUACCCCCUUCCCAAUAAAAAUUGUUUAACAGUUUGGUUUACAUCCUUGCAGAAUUUUUUCUAAAUAAAAUAGUUCAAUAAUUUUCAAUGGCUAACAUCAUAAUGUACUUACCUAGAGGCCAAGCAUUGUGCUAAGAACUUUUCAAGCAUGACUUUAUUUAAUCUUCUCAACAACCUUGCCCAGAUGCCCUGAGUCAGGGUUAUUAUCUCAGAUAAUGAAGAAUGAUUAAAGCUACCAUUGAAGUGCCCAUGGUGUUAGCUUCACAGCUUCUGGAUAUAUGGACCCACACAAUUCCCAAAAGAUGUAGAAAUUGACCACACAGAAGGACUAGGACAAAAACUUUCACUCUAUAAAGAAAUCCAAGCCCUUGCCUUAUUGCUAGAAAACCAAGGUAUUUGCCUCUGAUCCUUUAAGCUAGUGUUUCAUGAAGUGAGCUGACAGACCUUGAAUGGGAAUAACCUUUGGUGCUCGUUAAAAUGUAGCUUUCUGAGCAUGUACAAAAGCUACAGCAUCAGAAAUCCCUGUGUUUGUGGCCUGGCAAUCUGUAUUUUAACAACUUCCCAGGAAAUCCCACAGGUCUGCCUUGUACUAGACCAUCGUCUUCUCUCAUUGCUGUCAAUUCACUCCCUUCGGUACUCCUGUAUUACUGGUACCCUGGCUGCCUGUCGCUCCCUGGCCUUGAUUCCCUGGAUCUAGACCUCAGCUUUGCCAUCUGAGGCCCAGGAUUUCUGGGUUUUACACUUUUCAUUUUUCAUAUGUUUUACAUCACUGCUUGACUUUUGGCGGGGGAGAGGGCCAGGGAUCUGUUAAGCAUUGUCCAUAGCUCUUAGUUCAGCCUCUGUCUCUCCAAUACUCCUUUGUCCUCAGCCCACCCACCAAGAGAAGAAGCAUAAAGAAUGGGGAGGAUUCUACCAAUGCUUUUCUUGCCCAGAUAGAUCCACUCUCUAAGUCACAUUCCUCUCCCGACAUGUGACUGUGGUUCUGCCCCCACCUUUCCCCAUCCCUUUUCAGGUAUAAAAAAACAAAAGCAAGCAAACCAUUAAGUAAAUUCUAUUUAAAAUUAUCUUUUGUUUUCUUUUAGUUUACAAACUGUUAGGAAGAUGUGUCAAACCUCUAGAAAAAGCUUUCCUGUCUUUCUGUGGAAGGAUCCAUUCAACACCAGUGUUUAUUUAAAAGAAUGCCAAUUGUGUUUUGCAAAUUUCAAAUUGGCCUUAUUUUUAAAGUCUUUCUAAGAAAAACUAUCAUCAAUUAUCUUUUC
rnacentral:lncRNA from 1 species